CCUCCUUUCUUCCUCCUUGGGGCAUCUUGGGCAAUGGGCGCAAGCCUGACCCAGCAACGCCGCGUGAAGGAAGAAGGCUUUCGGGUUGUAAACUUCUUUUUUCAGGGACGAAGCAAGUGACGGUACUUGAGGAAUAAGCCUCGGCUAACUACGUGCCAGCAGCCGCGGUAAUACGUAGGUGGCAAGCGUUAUCCGGAUUGACGGGGUGUAAAGGGCGUGUAGGCGGGGAAGCAAGGCAGAUGUGAAAAUCACGGGCUCAACCUUUGGCCUGCAUUUGAAACUGGGUUUCUUGAGUACUGGAGAGGCAGACGGAAUGCGUGGUGUAGCGGUGAAAUGCAUAGAUAUUAGGAAGAACACCGAUGGCGAAGGCGGUCUGCUGGACAGCAACUGACGCUGAGGCGCGAAAGCGUGGGGAGCAAACAGGAUUAGAUACCCUUGUAGUC
rnacentral:rRNA from 1 species